ACCCAUCCAACGAAUCCCGAAUAGGACGAAACGCGCGUCAUGGAU
rnacentral:hammerhead_ribozyme from 1 species